CGCUGAGGCCUUUUGAUCAAUUAAUUCUACACACGCACACACACACACACAUAUAUAUAUAUAGGGGGAUUGCUGUUGUCGAAUAAGAAGGCAACAAGCUCUGAUACGGUGACGACAAAUUCUGCAUGCACAAAGGUUUCUUGCUCACUUUGUCGGGAAAAUGGAAGCUAAAUUUCCUCCGAAGCGCACACAAAGAUUCAGAGGAAAUGCGGUGCCGCCAAGCCGGUGUCAGCGAAGUUUAUACAAGCAACAUUGGAAUGAGCUACUAAUUAAUUUGCACCGAAUUGAGAGCUUGGAGAGAUGAAACUGACGUUCAUUGAAAAAAUGAAACUGAUGAGGCCAUAUUUAUUACUUCAGCUGAAUUUCAAGGUUGCCUUUUUGUACAUGAAAUGAGACUAUGAGCGAGAGAAGCAGUCGAUUGUCGGAUAUUUCAUUAAGGCUAUACCGACCGACUAAUACAACUGUCCUACACUAAUAUUGCCAAUUAAUUACGCUUGAUAAUAUCUUCUAAUGCCUUCAUUUUUGGUACGCAAUAAGUGCAAACCAGCAAUGAUUUUUGCAAUUAAUGGAGAUUAUGAAAUAACACCAACUGGUUGUAUAAAAUUGUCUUGAUUUCUGGCCAUUAGAUUUUAUUUAUUAACGACUUUAGUAAACAGGAUACGUUUUAAUAAAAGAGUAAUUUUCCGUACGGCGAGCCACCGCGUUCAAGUAGCAACACGGAGGCGUUUUGCGAGAGCGAGGCAGCUAACGGGCAGCCGGCGGUGCCACCUCCGAUGACGAUGUAGUCGUAGUAGGACACUGGUUUUGCUGCAGUUGCGUUGCGCAUGAAACUGUAGUUCGGAGCUGCUGUGUACACAAAAAGUGACGUAUAUAAUAUGGGGAUCAUAUAUUACGUUUUCCAAACAUGCAUGUGACAAAGUCAUGUGUGCACAUAUAUUAUUAGGAUCAAAUUAACCGUAAAAUUGCCAAUUAAAUAAAUUUAUUACCUUUUUGACAGGCACAAAAGUCAUGAAAGAAGAGAAAUGUAGCAAGAGUAGCAACAAAUGACAAUCUCAAGCACCCAAGAUCCAUGAUUUCAUGAAAUAACAGCUCUCGCUGAGGCCUUUUGAUCAAUUAAUUCUACACACGCACACACACACACACAUAUAUAUAUAUAGGGGGAUUGCUGUUGUCGAAUAAGAAGGCAACAAGCUCUGAUACGGUGACGACAAAUUCUGCAUGCACAAAGGUUUCUUGCUCACUUUGUCGGGAAAAUGGAAGCUAAAUUUCCUCCGAAGCGCACACAAAGAUUCAGAGGAAAUGCGGUGCCGCCAAGCCGGUGUCAGCGAAGUUUAUACAAGCAACAUUGGAAUGAGCUACUAAUUAAUUUGCACCGAAUUGAGAGCUUGGAGAGAUGAAACUGACGUUCAUUGAAAAAAUGAAACUGAUGAGGCCAUAUUUAUUACUUCAGCUGAAUUUCAAGGUUGCCUUUUUGUACAUGAAAUGAGACUAUGAGCGAGAGAAGCAGUCGAUUGUCGGAUAUUUCAUUAAGGCUAUACCGACCGACUAAUACAACUGUCCUACACUAAUAUUGCCAAUUAAUUACGCUUGAUAAUAUCUUCUAAUGCCUUCAUUUUUGGUACGCAAUAAGUGCAAACCAGCAAUGAUUUUUGCAAUUAAUGGAGAUUAUGAAAUAACACCAACUGGUUGUAUAAAAUUGUCUUGAUUUCUG
rnacentral:lncRNA from 1 species